CUGGCCCUGAACAUAUCCAUUCCACUUCUGAGAGUCAGGAGGUGGGCUGCCUUUGUGUAGCAAUGCCACACAGUCCUGACUUGCUGCGGGUCUUGCCUCUUCUUUCCCAUGUUUUAGUCCUUUCUCUUGUCUUAGCACCCAACUAAGCAGUGGCAAUACUGAAAAAGGAGGCAAGGCACUGACACAAAGCCAGGCCAUCACACAAAAAAGCUAAACUAUGCAGAACUGGUAUCAUCUUGUUUACCUCCAUCCAGGGAACUAAGACUCUGGUAAGGUACUAGGGAUGCUAAAACUUACCUUUAAUUUGGAAGUAUGAAGCCAUAUUCCUUCAAUGUUUCCUGGGAGGACAGGUUUCUUUACAGCCCGUUCAGGAGUUUGGACUGCAACAAGAACUAUGAAGAUUGACAAUCUCAAGUUCAUAAUAAGGAGAUAAUGCUAUUCUAAGGAAAUUCUGCUGCAAAUUUUGAUACCAAAGAGCCAUUUGGAAGAGGUCUGCAAAAUGGUCUGAAACUGGCACCUAGGAAGUGGAAAGGAAAAUAUUAUUAAAUGCCCUUGUAGAAUCAAGGUACGGCCGGACAAAGGAAAGCUCCCAACAGAAGGACCCGUCUCAGGCGAGCAGGGCAAGCUGCCCUGUUCCACCCAGGAGAGGGCACUCUUACACCUGGCCACGCAACCGGACAUGGACACCCACGGGAGGAACAGGAAAGUUCAGAUGACAUCUUAAAACUCGGUCAACUUGCACGACCAGUUCGUUAUUUUUAUGAUAGUGCUAAUCACAGAAAAGCCAUGGCCUACCUCCUCGAAAAGAAUUUGAGACAUAUCAGUGGAACUCAGAUGUCUAAAUUAUUCUGAAAAUGAAAGUACAAGAUCCCACUAUUAAGUCAUUAAAAAGAAACCAGGCCUACUGCAAAACGGUCCUUUCCAUAAAGGUAUUGAAAAUCUCAGCUGAAAAACUGGAUUGUAUAAAACAUUUUAAAGUUUUCAUCUGAAAAGAAAAAUUUAUGAAGAGAUGCACAUGCAGCAACAUUUUUACAGAAAAAUGAACUUUUCCCAGUCAAACUACAUAGGAAGAGUGAACACAUUAAAGGGACUACAUGCAUCUGUAUAUAGUUGACAGAUUUUUUAAAAAAAAUAUUUUUUUGUUGCUUGUAUUUUCUUUAUAGUGUAGAUAGUAGUUAAAAUGCUGUCUAUACUAAUGGAGGUGAAUGAAUGGCACUUGCAGAUAACAGCCCUACCAGAAGUUGACAUUUGUUGAGAUAAAUGUGUGUUGUACGUUGUCCUGCACUGCACCGUUAAAAGGGGGCCCUAUAAAGUGUUCCUGUAAACCUUAAUGUCUUGAAAGCCUCUAGUUCCUGAAUAAACAGUUCAAAAUCCAAUCUCA
rnacentral:lncRNA from 1 species